UCAACAGGACUACCUUUGAAGAUUCACGUGAGUUCUCAGACUAAAGAAGUACUGAAUAACUUUGGAUCGUUUCGCUUGGAACUUCGUGGAGAAGUGGAAAUGAAGGGAAAGGGGAAGGUUACUACUUACUGGCUUUUAGGAGAAGAAAAGACAACAAAUUCCGCCGAACAAACAACAGUGCCAACAAGUAAAGACAACAAACAUAAUUCAAAAACUUAAGCCUGAUUAGUUACAAUUGAAACUUUUUGUUUCAACUCAAAGAUGUAACCGGACAUUUAAAGCCUGAUUUGUUGAAAUGAAGCUCUAUUCCGUUACUGUAUUACAACAAAAAAAAAACCUAAACUAUUUUUAAGGUAACAUUAAAUUAUUAAUAAAUGUAUGAUUAAACACUUUUUAGGGAAUCUAAUGUACUGUUUAUGUGUAGUCACAUAAAGUCUGCGAGAACUAUGUUUCGAUAAAAUAGGAGAACCCUAGCACAAAAUUUAAAUUACAUUCGAUAUUCAUCUUUUACCCGAAAUACAUUUUUUUGGGUAAAACAAUAUUAUUUUAUUUUUGUUUGUUUCAAUAACACUAAUACAAUAUAACAAAAGUAAGACUUUUUUUCUGAGUUUUUUAUCUACGUACUUUUUCGAAUACAUAAUUCUAUAACAAACAAUGACUCUGCAAGUCUGCUGUUAACCUGUGUUUGAACUAAACGAUAUCAAUUUAUACCAAAGAUAUCUGAUUAAUUAAUAGCAACCAUUCAUGUUAAAUUAAGGUUAACUGGAGGUUGAAUCAGUUCUUUCUUGCAGUCAGUAAAGAUAAAUUGUUCACAAUCUAGGUUACAAGUACUUCCAUAUAGAUUAACAAUAUUUUCUGUUUCGAUAACGUGAUGUUUAAGUAAAGAUACAGAGAAUUACAUUAACCACAAUCUUAUCGCAUUUGAUCCUAAAAACACAUUUUAUAUUAUAUUUAUAUUUAAAAUCACUGAUUUAAAAUUGUAUGUGUUGGUGGUUGGUGAAAAUUAUUAAAUCUAAGUUAUCCUGUAUAGUGUUAUAAAUCAGGGAAUCUGGUUUACUUUGUAAUAGAAUGUUAUAUUUUAUUUGAGUAAAAAAAAU